GUCCAAAUAAUGCAUCGUAAUAUAUAUAUAUAUAUAUAUAUAUAAAAGAGAAAGGUCACUGACUCACUCAUCACGAGAACUCAAAAACCGGCGGAUGGUCCAUCCAUCCAGGAUGGACAAAGAUGAAAUUUAGCAGGGAGGUAGAUUAUAGUUAGGAGACGUCCACUAAGGACGGAUUUUGCGAUAUUCCACCGCUAAGGGG
rnacentral:misc_RNA from 1 species